GAUGAACGCUGGCGGCGUGCCUAAUACAUGCAAGUCGAGCGAACAGAUGAGGAGCUUGCUCCUCUGACGUUAGCGGCGGACGGGUGAGUAACACGUGGAUAACCUACCUAUAAGACUGGGAUAACUUCGGGAAACCGGAGCUAAUACCGGAUAAUAUAUUGAACCGCAUGGUUCAAUAGUGAAAGACGGUUUUGCUGUCACUUAUAGAUGGAUCCGCGCCGCAUUAGCUAGUUGGUAAGGUAACGGCUUACCAAGGCGACGAUGCGUAGCCGACCUGAGAGGGGGCUCGGCCACACUGGACCGGAGACACGGUCCAGACGCCUACGGGAGGCAGAAGUAGGAAAUCUCCCGAAAGGGGCGAAAGCCGGAAGGGGAAACGCCGCGUGAGUAAUGAAGGUCUUCGGAUCGUAAAACUCUGUUAUUAGGGAAGAACAAAUGUGUAAGUAACUAUGCACGUCUGGAGGGUACCUAAUCAGAAAGCCACGGCUAACUACGU
rnacentral:rRNA from 1 species